ACAAUGCGGGACUAUACGUCUUGCAAUUGGAUUGAGAACAAUGUACAACUCUUAUCGAUAAGCCAUUGGAGGGCAAGUCUGGUGCCAGCAGCCGCGGUAAUUCCAGCUCCAAUAGCGUAUAUUAACGUUGUUGCAGUUAAAAAGCUCGUAGUUGAAGUGUGGGUGAUCGCUGAUGAGAAACUUCAGACUCUCGACAGUAAGUCACCCCCUUCCAGUAUCCAGUAGUGGGUAUUCAGUUACUUACUAUUGUGUGUUGGUCGUUUACUGUGAGAAAAUUAGAGUGUUCAAAGCAGGCGUUUGCUUGAAUAGAUUAGCAUGGAAUAAUAAUUGAAGGCUUUCGUGUUCGAUUUGAUUGGUUUGUUCAUGGAAGCAAGGUUAAAAGGAACAGUUGGGGGUAUU
rnacentral:rRNA from 1 species